UGACCCACGUUCAAUCGAGUCAGGCGCUUUCCAAAGAUUACGAGGCGGCUUCCUAACUCGGAACGUGCGCAAAUUCAACUCGCGUCUCUAUUUUCAUAGAUGCAGAGAAAAAAAAAAAAAAGAAAUAACAGUGCCCCUAAACAAAACAAGAAACGAGCCGCACGGAGAAAGGAAUUCUCAUAAUUAAAAGUUAUAUAUCUAUAUUUAAUUCUAAACGAGAGUCAUUUAUCGUUAUAGAAGAAGUGAAAAUCAACUUAGAAUUGAAAGUGAUGUGCAAGUCAUCUUUAUAUGUAGGAAAAAUAAAGUGUACAUCAAAAAAAAAAAAAAAAAAAGUAAAA